GCUGGGUAUGGUGGCAUGAGCUUAUAGUCUCAGCUACUCGGGAGGCUAAGGUGGGAGGAUCUCUUGAGACCAGGAGUUCUGGGCUGCAGUGCGCUAUGCCAUUGGGGUGUCCACACUGAGUGUGGCAUCACUAUGGCGACCUCCAGGAGUGGAGGCCCACCAAGUUGCCUAAGGAGGGGUGAAACAGGUUGAAAACAGAGGAGAUCAAAACACCCAUGCUGAUCAGUAGUGGGAUUGCACCCGUGAAUAGUCACUACACUCCAGCCUGCAGCAACACAGCAGACCCCAUCUCAU
ensembl:misc_RNA RN7SL598P RNA, 7SL, cytoplasmic 598, pseudogene